rnacentral:rRNA from 1 species
GAUGAACGCUGGCGGCGUGCUUAACACAUGCAAGUCGAACGGAAAGGCGCAAGCUUGCUUGGGCUCUCGAGUGGCGAACGGGUGAGUAACACGUGGGUGAUAUGUCCUGCACUUCGGGAUAUGCCUGGGAAACUGGGUCUAUUAUAGGAUAGGACCACAUUUUGGAUGGUGUGGUGGAAUGUUUUUCGGUGUGGGAUGAGCUCGCGGCCUAUCAGCUUGUUGGUGGGGUAAUGGCCUACCAAGGCGUCGACGGGUAGCCGGCCUGAGAGGGUGUACGGCCGCACUGGGACUGAGAGACGGCCCAGACUCCGACGGGAGGCAGCAGGGGGGAAUAUUGCACGAUGGGCGCAAGCCUGAUGCAGCAACGCCGCGGGGGGGAUGACGGCCUUCGGGUUGUAAACUCCUUUCGCUAGGGAAGAAGCGAUUUUGUGACGGUACCUGGAGAAAAAGCACCGGCUAACUACGUG